GCUGGGUGUGGUGGCGCAUGCCUGUAAUCUCAGCAGCUCAGGAGACUGAGGCAGGAGAAUCAUGAGUUCAAAGCCAACCUCAGCAUCAGGGAGGGGCUGAGCAAUUCAGUGAGCCCCUGUCUUUA
rnacentral:sRNA from 1 species